GAUACCCUGGUAGUCCACGCAGUAAACGAUGAAUACUAGCUGUCCGGGGCGAAUGGGCCCUGGGUGGCACAGCGAAAGCGUUAAGUAUUCCACCUGGGGAGUACGCCGGCAACGGUGAAACUCAAAGGAAUUGACGGGGGCCCGCACAAGCGGAGGAACAUGUGGUUUAAUUCGAUGAUACGCGAGGAACCUUACCCGGGCUCAAACGACACAGGAACGGUCCUGAAAGGGGUCGGCUCUACGGAGCCUGUGUCGAGGUGCUGCAUGGUUGUCGUCAGCUCGUGCCGUGAGGUGUCGGCUUAAGUGCCAUAACGAGCGCAACCCCCAUCGACAGUUGCUAACAGGUUAGGCUGAGGACUCUGUCGAGACUGCCGGCGCAAGCUGCGAGGAAGGCGGGGAUGACGUCAAAUCAGCACGGCCCUUACGUCCGGGGCGACACACGUGUUACAAUGGGUGGCACAGAGGGAAGCCAGGUGGCGACACCGAGCGGAACCCGAAAUCCACUCUCAGUUCGGAUCGGAGUCUGCAACCCGACUCCGUGAAGCUGGAUUCGCUAGUAAUCGCGCAUCAGCCAUGGCGCGGUGAAUACGUUCCCGGGCCUUGUACACACCGCCCGUCAAGCCAUGGAAGCCGGGAGUGCCUGAAGUGUGCAACCGCAAGGAGCGCCCUAAGGUAAAACCGGUGACUGGGGCUAAGUCGUAACAAGGUAAC
rnacentral:rRNA from 1 species